GAGUGAUCAAGUGUCUUAAGGGCAUUCGGUGGAUGCCUUGGCGACAAGAGGCGAUGAAGGACGUGAUACGCUGCGAUAAGUCAUGGGGAGCUGCGAAUAAGCUUUGAUCCGUGAAUUUCCGAAUGGGGCAACCCACUCCGUAUGGAGUACCCGCAAGGGAGCAAACCCGGGGAACUGAAACAUCUAAGUACCCGGAGGAAAGGACAUCAACCGAGACUCCGCUAGUAGUGGCGAGCGAACGCGGACCAGGCCAGUGCCUUGAUUUGACUAACUGGAACCGUCUGGAAAGUCGGGCCUUAGUGGGUGAUAGCCCCGUACAGGUGUUGUUGAAUUGAGGACUUGAGUAGGGCGGGACACGUGAAAUCCUGUCUGAACAUGGGGGGACCACCCUCCAAGCCUAAGUACUCCUUGUCGACCGAUAGCGAACAAGUACCGUGAGGGAAAGGUGAAAAGUACCCCGACGAGGGGAGUGAAACAGUUCCUGAAACCGGAUGCCUACAAACAGUUGGAGGGCGCAAGCCUGACAGCGUACCUUUUGUAUAAUGGGUCAGCGACUUAAUUUAACGAGCAAGCUUAAGCCGAUAGGUGUAGGCGCAGCGAAAGCGAGUCUGAAUAGGGCGCUUAGUUCGUUGGAUUAGACCCGAAACCGAGUGAUCUAGCCAUGGCCAGGUUGAAGGUGCGGUAACACGCACUGGAGGACCGAACCCACGCCUGUUGAAAAAGUCGGGGAUGAGCUGUGGCUAGGGGUGAAAGGCCAAUCAAACUCGGAAAUAGCUGGUUCUCCGCGAAAUCUAUUUAGGUAGAGCGUCGGAUGAAUACUCUCGGGGGUAGAGCACUGGAUGGGCUAUGGGGGCUUACCGCCUUACUGAUCCUAACCAAACUCCGAAUACCGAGAAGUACUAUCCGGCAGACACACAGUGGGUGCUAACGUCCAUUGUGGAGAGGGAAACAACCCUGACCGCCAGUUAAGGUCCCUAAGUUAUGGCUAAGUGGGAAAGGAUGUAGAACUCCCAAAACAACCAGGAUGUUGGCUUAGAAGCAGCCAUCAUUUAAAGAAAGCGUAACAGCUCACUGGUCUAAAUAAGGGGUUCCGCGCCGAAAAUGUACCGGGGCUCAAGCCAUACACCGAAACUGCGGGUGUGCGUAAGCACGCGGUAGCGGAGCGUUCUGUAAGUCUGCGAAGGGAUACCCGUGAGGGGUCCUGGAGAUAUCAGAAGUGCGAAUGCUGACAUGAGUAACGAUAAAGCGGGUGAGAGACCCGCUCGCCGAAAGUCCAAGGGUUCCUGCGCAACGCUAAUCGGCGCAGGGUUAGCCGGCCCCUAAGGCGAGGCCGAAAGGCGUAGUCGAUGGGAAUGCAGUUAAUAUUCUGCAGCUUGGUGGUAGUGACGGAUGCCGUGUGUUGUAUCUCCUUAUUGGAUUGGGGGUGCAGCGAAGGUGUUCCAGGAAAUAGCUCCACCGUAUAAACCGUACCCGAAACCGACACAGGUGGACUGGUAGAGCAUACCAAGGCGCUUGAGAGAACUAUGCUGAAGGAACUCGGCAAAAUGCUCCCGUAAGUUCGCGAGAAGGGAGACCUCAGUUCGGGCAACCGGAUUGGGGUGGCACAGACCAGGGGGUGGCGACUGUUUAUCAAAAACACAGGGCUCUGCGAAGUCGCAAGACGACGUAUAGGGUCUGACGCCUGCCCGGUGCUGGAAGGUUAAGAGGAGGUGUGCAAGCACCGAAUUGAAGCCCCAGUAAACGGCGGCCGUAACUAUAACGGUCCUAAGGUAGCGAAAUUCCUUGUCGGGUAAGUUCCGACCUGCACGAAUGGCGUAACGACUUCCCCGCUGUCUCCAGCAUAGACUCAGUGAAAUUGAAUUCCCCGUGAAGAUGCGGGGUUCCUGCGGUCAGACGGAAAGACCCCGUGCACCUUUACUACAGCUUCACACUGGUAUUCGUCACGACAUGUGUAGGAUAGGUGGUAGACGUCGAAGCAAGGGCGCCAGCUCUUGUGGAGUCAUCCUUGAAAUACCACCCUUGUCGUCAUGGAUAUCUAACCGCGGUACAACAAUAUCCGGGACCGUGUGUGGCGGGUAGUUUGACUGGGGCGGUCGCCUCCCAAAUGGUAACGGAGGCGCGCGAAGGUGGGCUCAGAGCGGUCGGAAAUCGCUCGUUGAGUGCAAUGGCAUAAGCCUGCCUGACUGCGAGACUGACAAGUCGAGCAGAGUCGAAAGACGGCCAUAGUGAUCCGGUGGUCCCUCGUGGAAGGGCCAUCGCUCAACGGAUAAAAGGUACGCCGGGGAUAACAGGCUGAUGAUGCCCAAGAGUCCAUAUCGACGGCAUUGUUUGGCACCUCGAUGUCGACUCAUCACAUCCUGGGGCUGGAGCAGGUCCCAAGGGUUUGGCUGUUCGCCAAUUAAAGUGGUACGUGAGUUGGGUUCAGAACGUCGCGAGACAGUUCGGUCCCUAUCUGCCGUGGGUGUAGGAGAAUUGAGAGGAUCUGUCCCUAGUACGAGAGGACCGGGAUGGACGUACCUCUGGUGGACCUGUUGUGGCGCCAGCCGCAUUGCAGGGUAGCUAUGUACGGAAGGGAUAACCGCUGAAAGCAUCUAAGCGGGAAACCCACCUCAAAACCAGUUCUCCCUGAAGAGCCGUGGAAGACCACCACGUCGAUAGGAAGCGUGUGGAAGUGUGGCAACACAUGAAGCUUAGCUUUACUAAUAGCUCGUUCGGCUUGAUCGCUCUCAUU
rnacentral:rRNA from 1 species